UGAAAAUAAUGCAGUGCCAAGUUGAUUCUCAUGGAAUGAACAGUUCUAUAGUGCGUUUCAUAAAAUACCUAAUUCUAUUGACGUCUUGUUGACACUCUUGUCUGGCAAGAUACGAAAUAAGAUAUAAAUACGCGUAAAGGUGCCUGCAUAAUUUAUCAGUUUUCCAUAGUUUUCUAUAUGAGAAUCUUGGAAUCAUGCCCAAAACGUUGAAAAGUGGUGAAAGAGUGACUGUGUUAAAGGGCAAGGAAUUUUGUGAACGUGAAAAACGAAAUGAAGCGCCAAUUCGUUUUAGUCGUGUUCAAAAUCGUAUUACCGCCAUUACAGGUGUAAGCGUAGGUGUAAGUGACGGUUUAGAAGGUGAUGUGGCGGCCAGCACAUCAACGAAGGUGUCAACACCACGCAAAUGUUCAAUUUUUUUUUGGAAAUUACGGCUACAUUUACCAAAGAAAAAUGGAUGAAAGAAUGCGAGCUCGUAAAGAAAAUCGAAGGUACCUAAGUAUUGGGCCGACGGCCCAGGCGGCUACCGAAGAAGAUGAAGAAAAUAUUGCCGGUCUCAGUCCAUUAGAUGAGCAUAAUUACUUGAAACACAAAUCAAUGUAUUUUUUUUAUUGGAAUUUCAUGUAAUAAAAAGUCAUAAAUUA